AACUGGGUUCUUUUUAAUACUCAAGCUUAAUUGAACAGUUACAUUUUGUUACUAAAAAGCCAUGAAUGCUAAUGGAAACUACAGCUCACUCAAAGCAUGUUUACUUUUACAGAAGUUGUUAAAAAACCAGCUCUGCUCCAAAUUUGCUGAGCACACCAGUUAACAGUGAGGUAAUUUUGGAGAACUGAAUAUUCUAAAUACAUUUUAAAGCCUUGGUUUAAAAGCUAAUCAGUCAUAUUUACAUGACCAUCGUAUCUGAAAGGAGAGAAAAUGAGAACAGAAGUAACUUUGAGAAACAGUGUGAUUUCUUUGGACAUUUAAACAAAUCUCAAGUGGGUUAAUUACAGUUUGUUCUGAUUUUAACUCCACCAAUAGGAAUUUUCAUGGCAUUUAGAUAAGUUAUCAACUGGGCUAGGUAACAGAUAAAAGAUUGCAUUUUCUUUGCCAACAUUUGGGAGGUACACUUGUACAAUAAGUGCAACAAUUUAAAAAAUCGGUCUAGACUUCAGUGAAUGAAAAUUAUGCUUGUUAACUGUAGUGUCUGGAGUCCGAACUGGUGUGUCAGUCUUGCUUAUCCCUGGGCCACCGUCAAACAAAGCUGCUAAUUCGAAUGCUUUAAGUUUCAAAUUGGGAAAUAUUGUUCUAAUAUGGCAACAAUGGGGCUGUUGUCCUUUCAGGCGCUCUGCGAUUACAGGCUCGUUUUAUGCAAAACAAAUGGCAGGUAAUUGAGAUUUAAUUCUUUUCAAGUAAAUUACAGUGAGUGCGUGACACAAAGCUGCGGCGGACCCUCCUUUCUCUGUCAAUAGUUGAAUUAAUGAUGGCAGGAGUAAAAACAGCAAUUGUGCACAACGGCUCUCCCCGGGUCCCCCACCCCCGCCACGGAGGAACCUGCCAAUCAGGCUGCGCCACCACCGGGCUGGGAAGCCUAGGGUCUCCGAUGUUCCAGGAUGGAAUGUUCUGGUGUCACCGUGCGUGGGGUCACAGAGCUGGGAACUCGCUCAGAGCCAGGGUCUCUGCUGGGGUCAGCGUCUGUGCGCUAAAGCCAGGGCGCAAACUGCGUGCGCAUUGCGGGUACCAGGGGCUUAUGGUGCUGGAAAUACAAGGCCGAGUUGCCGGCGCAAAGAGUUCCCCGGGCGGGUUGGUGAUCCAGCGCGCUUUGAUAACAGGUUAACCCGAGCAACCUUCGCUCUGCGAGAGAUCCGCCGGAGGGCUCCGGAAGACUGCGGCGCAGCGGAGGGAGAGGCGGGGAGAGGCGGGGAGAGGCCCCCUCUGCGAGCACCGUCUGGGCGCAGUACGGUGGGCUGUGCGCUGCGCAUCCCCGGGCGAUCUUGGGUUCUCAGAGCCUAAGACCUGAGCCGCAGGGCUCCAGUUCUCAUCUAGAAGCUGGAGAAGUUCAGGUGCCCAGCACUUUGAUCAGUGUCUGCUUCAUAGGAGGCACUCAAAUACUGUGGAAUGGAUGAAUGGAGUCACUUCCUUUCCAACAUGCACGCCAACAUGGUUGAACUGCCUCCUUUCUAAGUGCCAAAGUCUGUUUUACAAGGCUGUAAGUGAAAUCACUGACAUGGAAAUUAUAUUUUCAAAAUUAAAGGAACAAUUUUCUAAAGAAA